CGGUGAGGGAUGAAAGCUGGGGGAGCGAACCGGAUUAGAUACCCGGGUAGUCCCAGCUGUAAACGAUGCAGGCUAGGUGUUUGGACGGCCACGUGCCGUUCUAGUGCCGCAGGGAAGCUGUUAAGCCUGCCGCCUGGGGAGUACGAUCGCAAGAUUGAAACUUAAAGGAAUUGGCGGGGGAGCACCACAAGGGGUGAAGCUUGCGGUUUAAUUGGAGUCAACGCCGGAAAUCUCACCGGGAGCGACAGCAGUAUGAAGGCCAGAUURAAGGUCUUGCYAGACGAGCUGAGAGGAGGUGCAUGGCCGUCGCCAGUUCGUGCCGUGAGGUGUCCUGUUAAGUCAGGCAACGAG
rnacentral:rRNA from 1 species